rnacentral:lncRNA from 1 species
AGGACCUCAUCCAGGAUAUCACAUUACAUUUAGUCAUCAAGUGUCUCUAAGACUCGUCUUGGUUACAGCAGUUCCUCAGACUUUCCUUCCUUUUGCUGACCUUGAUAGUUUUGAGGAGUAUGGCGCGCCUCUGCAAUUGUUUUCUUCAAGAAAGGAGAGCAGAGAUUUCUCCAUUCUCUUCCCCUCCUCCGUCCUCGGUCUAGCUGACAUGAGAUGAUGAUAACUUUAGCUGGGAAGUGGAAAGGAAUAUAUGGAUGUGAAAUUCUAUGAAUUCAGGUCAGACGUAAUGAUUAGAAGAGUUUUAAAGUUCCCACAUCAGCUUGUGUUCAGCAUUUUCCAAAC